rnacentral:rRNA from 1 species
UCCCUACGGGAGGCAGCAGUGGGGAAUAUUGCACAAUGGGGGGAACCCUGAUGCAGCGACGCCGCGUGGGUGAAGGAGCACCUCGGUGCGUAAAGCCCUAUCAGCAGGGAAGAAAAUGACGGUACCUGAGUAAGAAGCCCCGGCUAACUACGUGCCAGCAGCCGCGGUAAUACGUAGGGGGCAAGCGUUAUCCGGAUUUACUGGGUGUAAAGGGAGCGUAGACGGCUGUGCAAGCCAGAUGUGAAAGCCCGGGGCUCAACCCCGGGACUGCAUUUGGAACUGCGUGGCUUGAGUGUCGGGGCGGG